GUAGCCGUAGCGAAAGCGAGUCUGAAUAGGGCGAUUCAGUCGCGUGUCCUAGACCCGAAGCGAAGUGAUCUAUCCAUGGCCAGGUUGAAGCGACGGUAAGACGUCGUGGAGGACCGAACCCACUUAGGUUGAAAACUGAGGGGAUGAGCUGUGGAUAGGGGUGAAAGGCCAAUCAAACUUCGUGAUAGCUGGUUCUCUCCGAAAUGCAUUUAGGUGCAGCGUUGCGUGUUU
rnacentral:rRNA from 1 species